rnacentral:rRNA from 1 species
GACGAACGCUGGCGGUGUGCUUAACACAUGCAAGUCGAACGGAAAGGCCCUGCUUUUGUGGUGUGCUCGAGUGGCGAACGGGUGCGUAACACGUGAGUAACCUGACCUUGACUUUGGGAUAACUUCAGGAAACUGGGGCUAAUCCCGGACAGGAGCUCCUCCUGCAUGGUGGGGGUUGGAACGUUUGGGCGGGUGGGGAUGGAGUCGCGGCUAAUCAGCUUGUUGGUGGGGUAGUGGCUUACCAAGGCUUUGACGGGUAGCCGGCCUGGGAGGGUGACCGGCCACAGAGGGAUUGGGGUACGGCCCAGGCGGCUACGGGAGGCAUCAGCGGGGAAUAGUUCACGAUAGGCCGAAUCGUGGUAGAAGGCCGCCGCGUGCGAGAGGACGGCUGUCGGGAAGGAAACCGAGUUCGCCUAUAACGAGGCGUGAGGGCCGUAAAUAGGGAAAAAAGCACCGGCAACCUACGU